rnacentral:tRNA from 1 species
UUCCUGGGCCAUUAGCUCAGGUGGUUAGAGCGCACCCCUGAUAAGGGUGAGGUCCCUGGUUCAAGUCCAGGAUGGCCCAUCGGGAUUGGGGGUUUAGCUCAGCUGGUAGAGCGCCUGCUUUGCAAGCAGGAUGUCAGCGGUUCGAGUCCGCUAACCUCCAUUAGUCUUGAUAAUGGAACUGUGGCGCAGGGUGACUUAGAAGGAUGUUGGUGAUUCCAGCCUCGUUUGAUUCUUGAUUCAAGUUCAAACGAUGCUGGGCUCAGCAAUGGGUUCAGCAAGAACCUUGACAACUGCAUAGGUAAGUCUGGAAAUAAAGCAUCUCACAGAGAUGAUCCAGGCAUGAAGUGAUCCACGUUACGGCGUGAUUUGCUUGAUGUUUGGUUCAGCAAUUCUGGAGAAAAGCCGAGUCCUGAAUCAAUUUGAUCAGGAACAAAAUGGUCAAGCUACAAAGGGCUCACGGCGGAUACCUUGGCACACAGAGGCGAUGAA